rnacentral:rRNA from 1 species
ACAUGCCUAUAACAUAGAGUUAAUGCAUCAUAUUGCAUUAGAAAUCUGCAGUUAAGCGUGCUCAGGCUAGAGUAGUACUGCACUGGGUGACUACCUGGGAAGUCCUAGUUUUUUACAUGCU